rnacentral:rRNA from 1 species
AAAUUGAAGAGUUUGAUCAUGGCUCAGAUUGAACGCUGGCGGCAGGCCUAACACAUGCAAGUCGAGCGGUAACACAGAGAGCUUGCUCUCGGGUGACGAGCGGCGGACGGGUGAGUAAUGUCUGGGAAACUGCCUGAUGGAGGGGGAUAACUACUGGAAACGGUAGCUAAUACCGCAUAACGUCGCAAGAC